rnacentral:rRNA from 1 species
UACGUAGGUGGCAAGCGUUGUCCGGAAUUACUGGGCGUAAAGGGCUCGUAGGCGGCCAACUAAGUCAGACGUGAAAUCCCUCGGCUUAACCGGGGAACUGCGUCUGAUACUGGAUGGCUUGAGUUUGGGAGAGGGAUGCGGAAUUCCAGGUGUAGCGGUGAAAUGCGUAGAUAUCUGGAGGAACACCGGUGGCGAAGGCGGCAUCCUGGACCAACACUGACGCUGAGGAGCGAAAGCCAGGGGAGCAAACGGG